GGAAGGUCCAUGGCUUAGUGGUAGAACAUCUGUUUGGCAUGCAGAAGAUCCUGGGUUCAAUUGCCAGCAUUUUCUG